CAUCCCCACCAUAAACCCCACUCCCAUAAAAAGGAGUUCUAAGGACUUAUGAAGACCGCCUCUUACUAACCUAGUUAAUAAGAGAGUGUAGAUGAAUUUAAAUCAAAACAAAACGAACCUAGUUAUUAUAUCUUUACCGAUAUAAUCUAGGAACGCGACGUCAUCAUAGACCUAGUCUUGAGUAAUCGUGUUUCUAGUAUAGUUCUAUCGUUAUACUGUUUUUCGAUCGAGCCUCCAAUCAGUCAAGAAUACCCGCUGAAUUUAAGCAUAUAACUAGGCGGAGGAGAAGAAACUAACCAGGAUUCCCUCAGUNNCGGCGAGUGAAGCGGCAAAA
rnacentral:rRNA from 1 species